CUGAAAUGUUUAUUAUCUGUUUUAAAAGAAAUGUUUUAUUGUUAGAAAAGUGAAUUUAUUUCACACCUUAUGUUCUUGUUCUUUCUGCUUCUGUGGGAUGAUGGAUAAAGGUGGAAGGCUACAGAUCAGACUCCCUGAGGCUGUUGCAAGAGGCUCUACAGAUGAACCAAAGUGAAACCAGCCCUUCCUCCCCCAGUCCCACCCACGUGAAACACGAGGAGAAAUUUUGAAAACUGUACAAAUUUUUUCAUACAUCAACAGUAUAUUGGGCCCACGACUGUCAAGUUCCAAAAAAAGAAGUCAGUGGGAACACCGAAACUGCUUGGUUAUAGGGACGCGGGAAGUAGGGGUGCUGAGGGGGCUGCAGCACCCCCUGUUUUCACAUGGUUGCAAAUGCAACGCCAACCUAAUCCUCAUGAACACGUGACGCUAGCCCAGCCUAUGCAACAGGUUUGGAAGGGUGAAAUGGGCCCUGCUUCUGCUGGUCCUGAAUCUGCUGCUGCUGAAGUGUGGGAGGAGCAGCCGGCCUUGUCAGAGGAACCAGUGACCGGUGGAGAUGAGCUCAGCGGACUGGAGACGGCCCUCAAGGCAGAGCGCGAACGUGAGGAAGCGGAGUCUGGCCUGGGCAGCCCGUCUCAGGAGACGUGUGGAUCUGAAGGCGUGGCGUUCAUCGGACUUGACGGUUUAUGUAGCUCUCAGCAGGCAAUGUCGUCCUCGUCACAUAGAGCAGACCCUGCUGAACUACAACUCCCAUCAGCCCCUAGCAACAAAGAAGAGGAAGAGGAGU
rnacentral:lncRNA from 1 species